ACGAACCGUCCAAACGUUAUUCGGAAUUAUUGGGCUUAAAGGGUGCGUAGGCGGCGCUGUAAGUCGGGUGUGAAAUCCCACGGCUCAACCGUGGAACUGCGCCCGAUACUGCAGUGCUUGAGGGAGACAGAGGUAAGCGGAACUGAUGGUGGAGCGGUGAAAUGCGUUGAUAUCAUCAGGAACACCAGUGGCGAAAGCGGCUUACUGGGUCUUUUCUGACGCUGAGGCACGAAAGCUAGGGUAGCGAACGG
rnacentral:rRNA from 1 species